rnacentral:rRNA from 1 species
UGCCAGCAGCCGCGGUAAUACGGAGGGUGCAAGCGUUGUUCGGAAUUAUUGGGCGUAAAGGGCACGUAGGCGGAUUAGAAAGUUGGGGGUGAAAUCCCAGGGCUCAACCCUGGAACUGCCUCCAAAACUACUAGUCUUGAGUUCGAGAGAGGUGAGUGGAAUUCCGAGUGUAGAGGUGAAAUUCGUAGAUAUUCGGAGGAACACCAGUGGCGAAGGCGGCUCACUGGCUCGAUACUGACGCUGAGGUGCGAAAGUGUGGGGAGCAAACAGGAUUAGAUA